rnacentral:rRNA from 1 species
UAGGGAAUAUUGGACAAUGGGCGCAAGCCUGAUCCAGCCAUGCCGCGUGAGUGAAGAAGGCCCUCGGGUUGUAAAGCUCUUUCGUCCGGAAAGAAAAGCAUCGGGUUAAUACCCCGGUGUUCUGACGGUACCGGAAGAAUAAGCACCGGCUAACUUCGUGCCAGCAGCCGCGGUAAUACGAAGGGUGCAAGCGUUACUCGGAAUUACUGGGCGUAAAGCGUGCGUAGGUGGUUCGUUAAGUCUGAUGCGAAAGCCCUGGGCUCAACCUGGGAACUGCAUUUGAAACUGGCAAGCUUGAGUCUCGUAGAGGGGGGUAGAAUUCCAGGUGUAGCGGUGAAAUGCGUAGAGAUCUGGAGGAAUACCGGUGGCGAAGGCGGCCCCUGGACGAAGACUGACGCUCAGGUGCGAAAGCGUGGGGAGCAAACA